UGGUGGAGUGGAUGAGGCAUUUGCUUGGGAAAGCAGGGAGUAUCUGAGGAAACUCUGCGUAGGAAAGGAGGUCACAUUUAGAGUGGAUUACACUGCUCCUAACACAGUUUGACUGUGUUCUGUUUGUAUAAUUUGAGACUUUUGAUUGCAUCUAUAAUAAAUUGUUGAUAUUAUUUGUGCAGUACAUUUGUUCUUUUCUCCAUCUUUUAUUGUCUGUUGAAUCCGUAUAUUUGUGGUGCUCUAGGCUCGUCGUGGUGGAGUGGAUGAGCCAUUUGCUUGGGAAAGCAGGGAGUAUCUGAGGAAACUCUGCGUAGGAAAGGAGGUCACAUUUAGAGUGGAUUACACUGCUCCUAACAUCGGACGAGUAUUUGGCGAACUAAGUGGUUUUG